GACACAAAGGUACCUGCAAAAUUGAUUCAAAGCGAGUGUUUAGUUAACCAUUUUAAUAGACAAACGCGUGUGUAAUUGAUACCAGUGGUCUGUUAAGUGACUGAAUGUUGUGCAAGUUAUGUUAGCGCUAGCAUAACUACACGAUAGCCAUGUUACAGCCGUAGCCUAGGUAGCACAACACAAACCAUGACAUUCCAGUUUGGAAGAAGUCAAACAAUUGGCUCAGUUGUCAAGUAUGAGCAGUGUGCAGCAUAUUUAAAACGUACAAGGGUUGUAGUAUUAGUAAUAGUAGUCGUAAGUAGACAAAGUAGCGCUGUUUUUGUCACAACGCAAAGUCGGCACAAUGUCUCCCCCUAGUGGAGAUGAGCUGUCAUUACAAGGCAGAGCAAGCUCCCUGGCAGCAGGUGCAAGCUCACACGUAAAUAUUCACCUGCACCACUUAGGACCGCUCAUCGCACUGAAUUCAAUUCCAACACAUUUUUGUCCACAUUAACUUGGGUUUGGUGUUGCAUCACGUGACAUGUCAAUGACGUCUCCCUAUUGGCUGCGCUGCUCUUCUUCUAUUGGCCCGCACACGUUGCAAAGUGUCUCUUAACACUUGUGGCCUUUCACACUUUGGCUCGCCUCUGCAGCCUCAUCGAGCACGCCCACACGCACGAACCCACGUCAGAUCUCACACUUUCUUAACUUGAAUUUGGUUCUUUUCUAAUUCAUGGUCGCCAUGCGCGUCCUCUUGCUGUGCCUUUGCACCACUUGGAGCGUCAGCGUGCACGCCGCCGCUCAGCAUCCUGCUUCCCCGGGGGAGCGAGGAGCGCAAGGGGACCGGGAGGGAAGUCGGCGAGGCCCGGGGCUGCAGGCACGGAUCCCGGAUGUGGAGGUGAGGGUGCCCGCGGGGCAGCUCGGAGGAGAUCCCCCAGAGAGAGCUGCCGAGACUAGAUCAGGUGCAUGUGCCGACAGGUGCUGUCAGGUGCGAUGGAUCAGAACCAGCAGGUGUGUCAAACGGAGGUGUCUCCCUGGUUGCCGUGGCACUGCCUCAUGUCCAAAAGGUCAGUGUGUGGUUUCCAAGGUAAUGAUGUCACCAUCCAGUGGCGCAUCCUUCAUCUCAAAGACAGGUCCCGUCCAGCACCUGAGUCUUCCCUCCUCCAGCCAUUCUGAAGACAUAGCUAAAGAUCUUCAACGCUCGGCUGGACAACCUCCAGAAGGUAAUAGUGUGAGACUCUUAGGGUCUAGAGGUGAAGGUGACAACAAGAGAAGUCUUCAGGUGGGAGAGGAGGUCAAGUUCUCAGCUGAGGGACAUCUAAACUCUAGCAGAGAGAGCAGACACUCUCAUCUGGAGGACGAGAGGAAAGUGGACAUGAAGCCUGUACCUGCAAAGAAGACUUUUCUGAGUCUGCGUGAGGCCCAGGCCGUCCUGCUAAAGAAAACCGUGGGAGGAAGAAGGGACAAGAUGACCGCCGUCCUGAUGAAGCACAUUGAAAAGGAGAAGAAAAAACUCAGAGCUUCGGCGUCAUCGCUGAAGACGUUAAACGCUGGGGAGGGAAACCUCACUGUACCUGCCGCUGCAGCUGCAGUUCUGUGUCCUCUGCUAUGUAAGAACGGCGGCGUCUGCUUGCUUAAGGACCGCUGCCUCUGCCCGUCAAACUUCACUGGAAAAUUCUGCCAGAUCCCAGUCACCCACACCUCCUCCCCCUCGUCCACCAAUGAGGUUGUCAAGUCUGCCGGCCUGUCAGUCAUGGCACCCAAUCAGGACCUGACCCAGUCUGAGUUUCUCCUGCCUUUGGGAGCUCAGAACCAGGAGUUAGGGAGGCCUGGAUCAGCUCCUAGUCGCUCAAUGGUGAAGGUCAGAGUGCAGCACCCCCCUGAGGCCAGCGUGAAGGUCCACCAAGUGAUGAAGGUGUCUGGAUUCAUCCCCGUGCCUCAAACGCUCUCAACAGGCACGGUCUCGGGAUCCGCGGGGGCUCCUGCACCAGCAGGGGUGGAGGUCCAGGCCCAGACGGUGAGAGGUGAUGUCUACACCCAACACACAGGCUUCAAGUACUGCUUCAGAGAGGUGAAAGACGGACAGUGUAGUUCUCCUUUGCCGGGCCUGAGGAGCAAGGAGAUGUGCUGCCGAAGUCUCGGGAAGGCCUGGGGCACGACUGACUGCGUCCUGUGCCCUCAACAUGCAGGUCCAAACAGCAGCUGUCCUGUUGGCUUCGAGCGAGGCAACGGAACCAAUUGUGUUGACGUGAAUGAGUGCCUCCAGCCGGGACUUUGUGAGAACGGCAUGUGUGUGAACACCGGGGGGAGCUAUAGCUGCGUGUGCAAGCUGGGCUUCAUCUUGGACGCCUCACAUGGACUCUGCAUCUCGCAGAGUGUGAUAUCAGAAGAGAAGGGUCAGUGUUACCGGGUUCUGGGUUCUGGUCUGGGUCCAUCCUCCUGCUCCCUGCCCAUCCUCAGGAACAUCACUAAACAGAUCUGCUGCUGUAGCCGAGUGGGGAAGGCCUGGGGUCCCGCCUGCCAGCGGUGCCCCUACUUCGGAUCAGCGACCUUUAAGGAGAUCUGUCCUGCUGGUCCUGGUUACCACUACUCUCCCUCUGCCCUGCAGUUUAGUCAGAGAGCGGCAGAGCAGCUGGGCACCCGAGGGGCUCAGCUGGUAACCAAUGACAACAUGGAUCGCCAGGGUGCUGCCUCUGCCGGGGCCACUAGGUCUCAGCAGAAACCCCCAGCGAGAGGGACAGCGAGCUCAUCCAGCCGACCCAGUUCGCCGCCUCCUCGCGUGGCUGUCAGUCCCCCUCCCCCUAAACCCGUGAACCCUGGGAGCGCCGCCCGGCAUAAACCUCAAACUCCAGGCAGUGUCCCGGUUCAGCCAAACCGCCCACGACCAACCACAUCGUCGAAGAGACCACCACCACAAUCCAGUGGGGGUCAAGGUACCAGCCGCAACCAAGGAACCAGCGGGGGUCACGGUACAAGUCAGAACCAGGGAAGCAGUGGUAGCCACGGCUCAAGCCAGAACCAGAGCACUAGCAGGAACCAAGGCACUAGUGUGAGUCAAGGUUCUUCACAGAACCAAGGACCAAGCAGCAGUCGCAACACCAGCCAGACUCAAGGUACCAGCAGGAACCAAGGUAACAGUGGGAGACAAGGUUCUACCCAGAACCAAGGAACAAGCAGUCGCAACACCAGUCAGACUCAAAGUACCAGCAGGAGCCAAAGUACCAGUGGAGGUCAAGGCACAAGCAGGACCCAGGGCACAAGCAGGACCCAAGGCACCAGCCAGACCCAAGGAACCAGCAGGACCCAAGGAACCAGUGGGAGUCAAGGCACAAGCAAGACCCAAGGCACCAGCAGAAGUCAAGGCACCAGUGGAAGUCAAGGUUCAACCCAGAAUCAAGGAACAACCAGCAGUCGCAACACCAACGAGAGCCAAGGCACCAGCAGGAGCCAAAGUCCCGGUGGAGGUCAAGGCACAAGCAGGAACCAAGGAACCAGCAGGAUCCAAGAUUUGCCGACAGGAAGAGGAGAUUCUCUCCCAGUACCGCCUCAGCAGAUCCCUGAGCGAGACUCAAGGCCUGGCGGAGAGCUCCCGCCUCCGAAGAAGCCGACGACACGUCCUCCCCGUGUCCAGCCAUCGCGAGAUGUGUGUGAGAGCAAACCAGGUGUGUGUGGCGCUGGUCGCUGUGUGGCGCAGCCGGGUGGAAAACACACCUGUGUGUGUGAUCAGGGAUACCAGGCCAACUCUGGGCGCACGCACUGUCAAGAUGUGAAUGAGUGUGUUCGGUCUCGAGGUGUGUGCUCACCCGGAGAGUGCGUGAACAGUGCAGGGAGCUUCAGGUGUGUGUGUCCAUCGGGAUACAGCAGCGACGCUCAGCAGAGCAGCUGUCAAGAUGUGGACGAGUGCCAGCAGAGUCCCUGCGGCAGUGGUGCUCGCUGCCAUAACACGGCUGGCAGCUUCACGUGUGCCUGUCGCCAUGGUUACAAGCUCAGCGGCAGCACCUGCACAGACGUGAACGAGUGUGAGGAUCCUCUGCUGUGUCCGGGUCAGGAAUGCGUCAAUAAUCAAGGUUCCUACCGCUGUGUGUCCUGCCAGCCUGGAUACGGACUUCUCAAUGGACUCUGCACAGACAUCGAUGAGUGUCGUCAGUCUCUCUGCUCCAACGGUCGCUGUGAAAACACACCUGGGAGCUUCCGCUGCGUCUGUCGCCACGGUUACAAGCUGAAAAACAACAACUGUACAGAUGUGGACGAGUGUGCAGAGCCAUCUCAGUGUCCUGGUCAGAUGUGUGUCAACUCUAUGGGCUCGUACCGCUGUGUGUCCUGUCGACCGGGAUACACACUGACAAAUAGACAAUGCACAGAUGUGAACGAGUGUGAGGACGGAGCGUUGUGUCCAGGUGGGCAGUGUAUCAACACCGAGGGGUCCUACAAGUGUGUGGACUGUCACCAAGGCUACCGUGCCGUGAACGGACUGUGUGAAGACGUCGACGAGUGCGUGAGCCCCUCGGCUUGUGAGGCAGAACGUGUGUGUGUCAACACUGUUGGCUCGUUCCGAUGCGACUGUCUUCCAGGGUAUCGAACUUUCGGACGGGGGCGACAAUGCAGAGACAUCAAUGAAUGCUUGGAGGAGAACUGGUGCCCCCCCACGGGAGAGUGUGUCAACACACCAGGCUCAUACACGUGUGUGUGUCCUCAAGGAUUCACUCUGAGCAGCAGCAGCAGCAACAACAAGACCACCUGUGUUGACGUGGACGAGUGCACGAGGUCGAGGGCGUGCACGGACGGCGACUGCGUCAACACUGACGGCUCCUUCCUGUGUCGAUGUCAUCCUGGAUUCACAAACAACCCUGAGAGGACCACCUGCCUCGAUGUGGACGAGUGCGUCUCGUCUGGAGGCUCAGUCUGUGGAGCGCUCAGGUGUGAGAACACCAUCGGUUCUUACCGCUGCCUCACUUCCUGUGAGCCAGGCUUCCAGGUGUCUGCUGCUGGCCAGUGUGAGGACGUGGACGAGUGUGUGAACAGGACAGUGUGCGGUGAUCACGCGGUCUGUCAGAAUGUGGUGGGAACGUACGUGUGUGUAUGUGACCAAGGUUUCACCUCCACCGCUGAUGGAAAGUUCUGUGUGGACGAGGACGAAUGUGUGUCCAUGCCAGGUGUGUGUGGUUCUGCUCGAUGUGACAACAUGGAGGGAUCCUUCAUGUGUGAAUGUGACACACCUGGAGAAGAGUUUGACACCACGAAUAGACAGUGUGUGAGCACCCCGCCACCGCCACCACAGCAAGGGACUUUCCCCAUCCACUCCUCAUCUUCGUCCACAUCCUCCUUCCAUGCCAGUGUAUUUGACUUGGCUCCGGUGCUGCCCCCCCUCCCCCCACCCAGCCCCGGUGAGCUGAGAGAGUGUUACUACAACCUGGCUGGGGGUGACUCCUGCAGCCUGCUAGCCACCAACACCAGCCAGCAGGAGUGCUGCUGCACACUGGGAGAGGGGUGGGGCCUGGGCUGCCAAUACCACGCCUGUCCCCUAGCUGGCACAGCUGACUUCCUGUCGCUGUGUCCCAGUGGGAGAGGAUACGUGACCACUGGAGCUGGAGCCUUCAGCUACACAGAUGUGGAUGAGUGCAAACGCUUCCAUACAGAGGUGUGCAAGAACGGAGUGUGCGUCAACAACAUUCCCGGAUACAACUGCUACUGUUCCAGCGGGUUUGUGUACAGCAGCACACUGCUGGAGUGCAUUGACCUGGACGAGUGUGAGCAGGAGACGUGUGUAGGAGGCCAGUGUGUCAACACAAUCGGUUCGUAUUACUGCAGCUGUCCGCCUCCGCUGGUGCUCGACGACACUCAGCGCAACUGCGUCAACUCGUCUCACCUCACCCUGGAUGAGAACCUGUCCGUGUGCUGGCAGACCGUCAGCGCUGAUUUCAUGUGCCAGAGUCCCCUCUUGGGGGCGCAAGUCACCUUCACGGACUGCUGCUGUCUGUAUGGCGAGGGCUGGGGCAUGGAGUGCGCCCUCUGCCCCUCCACUGACUCAGAUGACUUUGCCAGCCUGUGCAGUUCCUUUCCUCCUCCCGUCUUUCCGGAACCUUUCCCAGACUCGACUGGAUCAGACCCAUCUGGGCGAGGAAGAGGAGGCGCUCCUCUGUUCUUCCCACCCUUCAGUCGCGACACUUUCCCCCCCAGCACAGACUUUGGUGGUCCCGACUAUGAUGAUUACUCUCCAGGAGGGGGCAGCAGCUCUGGCUUCCGAGGCAGGACCCCAGCCAGCUUCAGCCUACCUGAUGAAACCUACCGAGGAGAACCCUUUGACAGUGGUUACUAUUCGGAAAGAGACUACGGUGUCCCAGAUGGAGCACCGCUCAGGCCUUCAUUCCCCCGCCUCCCCUCAGACCCUCGGACGGAGCGGGCUUUUGGGGUUCGGCCGCCACCUCCGGCCCGGCCUGACGCUCCUCCUCUCAGCCUGGCUCCUCUACCGGGAGCCUACGAGGAUCUGGAUGAGGACGAGGAUGAGCAGGAGUCUUGGGGGCCAGGCCCGCCUUUCCCCCCCUUCGGUGACAGGAGCAGAGGGGGCGGGGCCCCGAGAAGGGUGUAUGAGAGGCGUUACGACUCCUAUGCCGGACUGAGUGCAGCAGAGGAUUGUGGGAUUCUUCACGACUGCCAGAACGGCACCUGCAUCCGCGUGGACGAGGGCUACACCUGUGACUGUUACCAUGGUUACCAGCUGGACAUGACCACCAUGACGUGCAUAGAUGUUAACGAAUGCGAGGACGCCGUGGACGUGGACUUCCCGUGUGUCAACUCACGCUGCGUCAACACGGACGGUUCUUUCCGCUGCGUGUGUCGGAGAGGCUACAUCAUGUCCCACAGGCCCAAUCACUGUGUGGCCGCCUAGACCAGGCGGGACUGGUCCAAAAUGGUCCGGAGAACCUCAUUAAGACCUUUUUUUUUUUAUUAACUUCCAACUAAACCUGAGCAGGACCUGAACGUGGACCGUCAAGCAAACUGGGCCAGCUUGAAGACUCUGAGGUUGAAUUUGCAUUUAGCGUCUCUGUUAGCUCAGUCAGGACGUCUGUUCUGAUGUUAGCCUGAGGAGACGUAAGGUUUUCUUCUACUGUUGAAGGAAGGAAGCGAGAAGAAGAGUUAAGGUCACAAGCGCAAAUUCAUAUUAAGCAGAGCCCAAAAUGGCUCAGUAGGCGGGAUUUUUAUAUGGCGGCCCCCUCCAUCUGACAUUUACAUACGCUGACAAAAGAAAUUGAUUAGUAUUGUUUUUAUUGUCUUUACUUGUGAAAUAACGUGCCACCCAAUUUACAAGCGUAACAAAUUGCAAAUAUAUGUUAAAAAAAAUCUUAGCACGAAAUAAAAAUCCUGUAAAUAAGGAGAUAAAUAAUAACAGCAAUAAAUUAUCAAUACAACAACAACAUCAAACAGUUUAAAUAAUCACACAGGUUGCACACAAUCACUCUAUGAGCUCCAUUUCCACUAUGUUAUAACUACGUAUGCAAACAUAUACAACUAUAUGCAACCAUGUACGAAAACCAUGGCAUUUAUUUGUUAUUAUUUGUAGCAAUAUAAAUUGGGUAUUUCUUUACAUUUGAAUCAAUGUGAACUUUUCCAUUUUAACACAUCAAAGUAAAAACUACUGAAGGUGAAUUUUUCUGCAUUUUUGGCGCCCCCUGGAGGCCAAGGCGCCUUAGCAUCCGCCGAUACAGCAAUCCCUCGCCACUUUGCGCAGCGUCGUUCUUAUCAUGGUUUAUUAAUUAAUAAAGCAUGCUGUUUUGUGGUUAAAUACGUCCUAUUACUAGUCCAAAAAUAUUCAUAUUUAAGCAAAUUUUAUAUAUUUUUUUGCCUAAAUUAAGCAUUUUCAAGCAUAAAAAUGUCUAAAUGAACUAAAAUACAAAUAUAAGGCAUUCAGAAGAUGUAUUCAAUGACGUUGUGAUGAUAUGUAGUAUUCUACACUGGUCACGAGGUGUCAGUAACGUUACUGUAAUGUUUGGUGAGACACACAAGCACCAGACUCGAUCGCCGUAACAACAGGCUUUUAUUGCAAGUUUGAAUUAUCCCACAACAGGCGCAAUACUCCUUAACACGGGGUACUGUUGAGGCCGUAAACCACGGCAAGCUAAAACUCAACUCUGAACCCCCGCCGUCACUUCCUGUCAGCUCCCCGCUCAGCUCCCCGCUCAGCUCCCCGCUCAGCUCCCCUAGCAUCGGAACACAUUUACAGCAACACACAAGCAUGAGUUUUGUUUAUGUCUUAUUUUCUCUUAUUAUGUCUACUGUAUUGGGUAAUAGGAGUGUAAAGGUGACUAUAGGGGUGUUAUUUCAUGUCUAGAGGGAUCUAAUAAUGUUAAAAAACAUAUUUAGAAGGUCGUAAACAGGUUUUCUAUGCUCUAACUAUGAAAGUAUUCCAUUUGCAGAAAGUCACUUAUCACGGUCGGGUCUGGACCCAAUUAACCACGAUAAACGAGGGAUUACUGUAUUACAUAAUGGGCCAGCCGGCUCUAAUUCAAAUUCUUAACUCAGUGUAUUUCAUAUUUAAUUGUAUUUUGCGUGAAAGUGACUGCCCUUCAGUUGAUUUCAUUUGGAGGAAAUUCAGUUUGUGAAAUAUUCUUCAUGUUAAGCAUAACUUUUUUGCAACAACUUUGAGGAUUUUCUCGCCAUUAACGACAUCAUUGUCUUUUUAUUGGACGAAAGGUUUAAGCUCAUGCAGUUUGAAUCUUUUUUUAGUUGUAGCUUUUGUAGUUAGUAGGGAUGCUCCGAUCAGGGUUUUAUGCUGCCGAUACCGAUACAGGUACCGAUCAUCCAUGAGUGAAAUCGUCCGGUAGCAAUACCAAUCACGUAGAUUGAGUGUACAUUUUUAAAUGUAUUGGCUGCACGAGGGGUCACCAGUGUUGGUGGCCCCUGGGCUGUACGAUUUGCAAGGGGAACCAUAACAUUUAGACAAAAACAUUUGAUUUACAUUUUCAAAAUCACUGGUGAAACUUAGAGGAUCGGGCGCCUCGGAAACUCACCACACCCUGCCAAGUGCCCACCCCCCAGAUGCCGCACCAAACUAAAACUUUUUAACGCGCCACACCCGGCGAGACAUUUUUCGUGGCAUGUUUUGCAGGGUGCAAAACUUACGUCACUCUCACAACGACAGGAAGUCCCACACGGCAGACAUGCUUGUUUUGGCUUUGUGAAGGGAAAGUAGGCUGGAUGCUCCGAUGGGGGCGCAGGUGAUCGGCGUUAUAAUGCAAGUAUCGGCAUAUGCAGAUGACGUGCUUUUUCACGGAAAUCUGCCGAUACUGAUCGGUGGCUGAUCCAUCGGAGCACCCCUAGAAGUUUUUUUUUUUAAAUUGCAUCUGAUAUUUAUGGAUUAUUGUUAAUAACUAACUAAUAACUAAAUAUUGAAGAAUAUUUCACAUCCUAUCCUCUGGUAUGAAUGUGUUUUCAUGAGCUUUGAAGGUGAGAAACCUCCUGAUGUUGUUAUUACAUGCACUGUAAGAAGUGCCAGAGACUCACGCUUGCUUUUCUAUUUAUACGUACAAAGUCAUCCUACUCCUUUUGGUCUCUGGUACUCCUUUUUUUUUUCUUUUUUUUGGGGGGGGGAGCGGAAUUAUAUUUGCACACCUUUUUAAUCCAAACACUUGUCUUCUUCUGUGUGACGUGGAGUGUGUGAGGCCGGCUCCCCUGCAGACAGGGUGUGCAGUGGAUUUGGCACCUGAAGGUCACUGGUUCAAAUCCCUAAUAGGUGAGGUCAGUCUGCCAUUCAUAAUAUCUCAUUCAUGAUCAAAUAGAAUGUUAGAAAACAUGAACAAAUAUAUUGCUGUCAUUUGUAACGCUGAACUCCUCCGGUCAGUGACCCACAUUGUUGGCAUGUUGUUGCACCGUCACUCAGGUGAAGCUUGCGUCUUGACCCAAACUAAUCCCCCACCUGGUUCCGUAACCUUAAUGCCUUCUCUGUUUAUGCGCAGAUAAAGCCCGUCUACACACACACUCUCUCUUUCUUGAGGCAGUGUUAAUGGGAUUAAACAGGUUCACUCAGUACCGACACAACGUGUGAGCCAGCGGAAUAUCAGCUUUCACACACACACACACACACACACACACACACACACACACACACACACACACACACACACACACACACAGUGGGUCCAGUGGGUGUGCGCUAAUGAAGAGGAUACAUACCAACAAACAUGCUGAUGCAUUGGGCUGGGGGGGUGUGUAUUUUGUCCAAUGGCUCCUCUGCAACAUCUCAAGGUCACGUUUAUUUAAAUAGCAAAUAUUACCGACCAAAUUGCAGUACAUCAAAUAAAUAAAGUAGUUAAUUGAUAGAAAAAUGGUUAAUAUAUGAGAUUUUAUUAGCGGUGAUAUUGAUAUAGUAUCCCAGCCAUAUGUCAGGUAAUUGUUAAUAUUAACAUAAUUAACACAAUUCAAUGAUAUUUUAGAGUAUGAACACUGUCACAGGCCGAGCCUGGCCCUUUAAGAAGAAUUGCAUUGUGAGAUGUUGAGGGUCUGUCUCUUCCCUCUCUCGUCUGUCUGCACCGCCCAUUGUUUUCUGCAUCCUGAUUGGCUGUAGACCAUUGUCAAUCAAUCUCCUUUGUGCUGCCCUGCCAUGUCUACUGUGUCGUCGCUAACUUGCUUGCUUGCUAGCUUGUAAAUUAAUCUUCAGUUCGUCUGCGGCAAUAUGUUUUAACAAGGAUACAAAAACGCUACAAUACAGCGGAACGGCGCCAUGACAAAAAGGCACGGUCACAGGAGUGAAAUAUGCGUGAGUGACUUAAUCAUUUCUUGUGUUGGUCAUUAAAAUUCAAACAAAGGUUUGAACUUUUUUGAGUGUUUAAACAAGAGAGAAAUGUGAGAAAAUGUUAUUGCCUGUCUGAGAAAAGUGUAAAAAGUGUACAGUGUGGGGUUUUACAGCCUUAAAACAUAAAUAAGAAGUUGGCUACUUCGUGGAUUUCAGUUAUUGCAGGCUAUUUUGGGAACCUAAUGAGGGAACACUGUAUUAUUAUACAGUAUAAUAACAUGCUAAUGCUAAUUCUUGCUUCUACAGACGUCUGCUAAAGUUCUAAAUCUAAAUGUAAUAUGCUAGCACCUAGCAAGAUAAGUACUAUGUAUGUACUGUAAAGCAGUGGUCCCCAACCUUUUUUGACCCACGGACCGGCUUGUGUUCCCACAAUCUCCCUUGGACGGGGGGGUCGUACAUUAUAGCGAUCUAAUUUAUCUUAUUUGUUAUGUAUUGUGUAAAACUAAGACAUGAAUAACAAAUUAAAAGCACCAAAUGAAUGCAGACCCACCAUCCACCAGUUCAAGUUCCAGCCAAGUUUUUCCAGAAAGAUGAUGACAUGGCUGUUUGACGUGUGUGGUAAAAGGCAGUGUGCUAGCAUGAAUUAACUUGAGACAAAUGUGCACAUUAGCACUCAAUAAGUCAUCAAAACUUACCUUUAUGCAUUCCCACAUAGUAUCAGCAUUUGACACCAAAGAUGAGGUGAAAGAAAAAUGGUAAAAAUACAGUAGUAGUCUAUCUGUGCGGCAUGUGAUAAAGUUAGCACACAAAUAGACAUGCGUCAAGUGAGACGGAUGUAACAGAGAGAAUCCAGCCACUUUUCAAAAUAAAACAUUAAAAAAAUAUGAAAUAAUGGAAAUUAUUUCUUCUUUCUUUGUGGCCCGGUACCAAAUGACUCACGGCCCGGGGAUUGGGGACCACUGCAUGACCUGCUAACCAUUUUCAUUUCAGGAGAAUCCCCAAACAGGUCCAAUUGUACUUACUUAAAGAAGAGCAGGGUCGGACAUGCUCUUGGUUUGACUUGUUUUGGCUGUUUGUGUAUUGCUGACAUGUUCCCAAGACGUGACUGAAUCGGGAAGUGAGAGUGUAGCGCUGCUGCUGCUCCAGGGAACCGUGACCUGCGCUGACCUAGAUCCCUAC